UACGUAGGUGGCAAGCGUUGUCCGGAAUUACUGGGUGUAAAGGGAGCGCAGGCGGGAAGCCAAGUCAGCUGUGAAAACUACGGGCUUAACUUGUAGACUGCAGUUGAAACUGGUUUUCUUGAGUGAAGUAGAGGCUGGCGGAAUUCCGAGUGUAGCGGUGAAAUGCGUAGAUAUUCGGAGGAACACCGGUGGCGAAGGCGGCCAACUGGGCUUUAACUGACGCUGAGGCUCGAAAGUGUGGGGAGCAAACAGG
rnacentral:rRNA from 1 species